GAGGAUAAUUAGCUAAGUAUAGGUCAUUUUUUAUUAAAUAGGCCAUUUUGGAGCUAACGAAGCUAAUUAUGUCAUUUCGUAGGAUAAUUAGCCAAUUUAGGCUUUCUUGGAUGAGUCUAAGCUACAUAGAAGAAGAGAUAGAGAAGAAGAAGUAAAAGAAGGAGGAGGAGGAGGAGGAGGAGGAGGAGAAGAAGAAGGAAGAGGAGAAGAAGAAGAAAAGAAGAAGAAGGAGAAGAAGAAGGAGAAGGAGAAGGAGGAAGAAGGAGGAAGAAGAAGGAGAAGG
rnacentral:lncRNA from 1 species